GGGUCGGUAGCUCAGCCGGUAGAGCACUCGGCUUUUAACCGAAUGGUCCUGGGUUCGAGUCCCAGCCGACCCA
rnacentral:tRNA from 1 species